GUCGCUCUUCCUGGUUACCGCACCUGGCCCAACAGAGGGACCCUGCCUCAGGCCAUGAUCUGGGCACUGGAAUGCCAUCCUACAGAGGAUCAAGAUGAAGGACUCUACUGAGCCAGGUAAAAUCAGAUUAAAGAUCAACCAAGGACAGCAGGGAAACCAUCACCAGACGGCAAGCAGGCUGCGCACGGGAGAAAGAAUACUCUUCGCACAACACACUGAGAACGUCCUGCGUCACAGAAGAGAACUCCUUCCUCUGGAGUCAGAGCUCUUGUUCCAGAGUCAAGACCAGUGACGGGGGCUGUGUGCCAUGAAAGCUACCUGGCUGAUCACUCAGGAAACGCCAUGUGCGCAGCCUCACAGCAGGCGAGGCAUGCUCCCAUCAUUGCCUGGGCAUUGAGAACUACCCAGAAGAAUAGAUGCCAGAAAUUUUACAGUAGUCACGCCGGGGUGCAGCGCUAGCAGUCACGACAGGUUCAUUUUAGACCUUGCUGUCUGUGAUUGACAGGAAAGCUAAGAAUCCUGGUCAAGCUCUAGGCCACUGGAACUGGUUCUCCAGGGUGCGGCUUGCACUCUUUCUACGCCACCAGUUCACUCUGCCCACCCAAGGGCAGCACCUGUCCAGUGUCGCUUGCCCCAACGCCACUCCUUUAUUCUCCGACUCAGCCAGGUGGGCUCUACUCACGUCUUGCCUGUCAUGGGCCUCAUAUUGCUGUUUCAUAAAAGCCAGGACUGCUCUGGCCUCAAGAGACCAACUCUAGAGAAGAGGAGGAGGAAGGAGGAGAGGGACAUCUAAGGGGACAACUUUCAACACUUGACUCAGGCAGGAUUUCGGAACUUGCCAGUACCGACUGGGAAUCCUAUCCUAUCCCUUCAGUGAAUGGCCCGGCAGACUUCACCGUUCCCCAAAGACCUUCCAAUGACUUGAAUCAAGAGUCCCACCUCUGUGAAAAAAUAUCCUUUUACUGUAGGAGGCACUGCCAAGGUGACAGGAGUGGGUGGUGGUGGUGGUGGCAGUGGAUGGGUGUGGACAGAGGAGGGCCACCAGGGAGUAAGCAGACACACGCCCACCUCCUGAAGCUCGGUUCACCCUCACUACCUCUGACCCCAGAACAGUAAAACCAUUGUUUUGACACAA